rnacentral:rRNA from 1 species
GAUGAACGCUGACAGAAUGCUUAACACAUGCAAGUCAACCUAUGGCGGACGGGUGAGUAAGGCGUAACGGACUUACCUCACAGCUGAGGACAACAUCUGGAAAAAAAGGCUAAUACUACCUACUGUGAGAUAUCUCUGCGUCGCAUUAGCUAGUUGGUGAGGUAACGGCUCACCAAGGCGAUGAUGGGUAGCCGGCCUGAGAGGGUGAUCGGCCACAAGGGGAUUGAGACGAGACCAUUAGUCAUAAUGGAGGCAGCGGUGGGGGAUUGUGAAAAAUGGACCAAAGUAUGAUGAAGCAAUUCGGUGUGGACGAUGAAGUUUUCGGAAUGUAAAGUGCUUUCAGUAGGGAAGCGGUACCAACAGAAGAAGUGACGGCUAAAUACGUGCCAGCAGCCGCGGUAAUUC